GUGUGUGUAUGUAUAUAUAUAUACAUACACACACACACACACACACACACAGACACACACACAC
rnacentral:miRNA from 1 species